GCAGUGGUGGUUCAGUGGUAGAAUUCUCGCCUUCCAUGUGGGAGACCCAGGUUUGAUUCCCAGCCAAUGCA
rnacentral:tRNA from 1 species